AGAUGUGAGGGCUAUCUGGCUGCCACAUCUGUCACCCCAUUGAUUCCCAGAGUUGAUUCAGCUGAUCUGUCUGGCUAGGCAGGUGUCCCCUUCCUCCCUCACCGCUCCAUGUGAGACCCUCAUAAAGCUGUGCUCUGUGGAGGAGGAGAGCCUCCCUGAAUAGAGACAGACUGGUCUUGGGUCAGGGGUAUAUGAGUAGCUGCGCUCCCCUGCUAGAACCUCCAAACAAGCUUUCAAGGCCCAUUUAUAGUAGAAUAUAGGGUAGUCAAGCUUCUAAGACUUCAGAUACAUCCAAAUGAGGCACUGCAUGUGGCAGUCUGCCUUUAAAA
rfam:Erinaceus europaeus unplaced genomic scaffold scaffold00145, whole genome shotgun sequence